UUGGAGGGCAAGUCUGGUGCCAGCAGCCGCGGUAAUUCCAGCUCCAAUAGCGUAUAUUAAAGUUGUUGCAGUUAAAAAGCUCGUAGUUGAAUUUCGGAAUCCAUCCGUCGGUCGGGCUUCACGGUCCGCACUGGUGUGAUGGAUUCCUACCUUCUGAAUAACCAGCAUGCUAUUAAUUUGGUGCGUUGGGGAAGCAGGACUGUUACCUUGAAAAAAUUAGAGUGGUUAAAGCAGGCUAGUGCCUGAAUACAUUAGCAUGGAAUAAUGAAAUAGAACGGCAUGGUUCUAUUUUGUUGGUUUCUAGGAUCACCGUAAUGAUUAAUAGGGAUAGUUGGGGGCAUUAGUAUUCAAUUGUCAGAGGUGAAAUUCUUGGAUUUAUUGAAGACUAACUUCUGCGAAAGCAUUUGCCAAGGAUGUUUUCAUUAAUCAAGAACGAAAGUUAGGGGAUCGAAGACGAUCAGAUACCGUCGUAGUCUUAACCAUAAACUAUGCCGACUAGGGAUCGGACGAUGUUGAUUUUUUAAUGACUCGUUCGGCGCCUUACGGGAAAC
rnacentral:rRNA from 1 species